ACCGCUCCUGCCCUUUUACGGUCUCACAGUGAGUGAGGCAGCACUAACUCGGACAUCCGCCAUCCGCCUUCCCCGGGCCUGGGACCGGAAACGCGAGGGGGGGCAAGGGGCGGGGCUGGGGGGGGCAGUGGGAGAGGAGAGUCCCCCGGGAAGAGGGUGAGGGAAAAGAGCUUGGCUCCCGAAGGAAGCCCCCUCUCCAGGGCCGACCUUGAAGAGAGGUUGCCACAAUGGGGAUAGGCAGGAGAACUUGAGGGUGUCUGCGGGUUUCCCCUUGCUCCAAAUUUCCCUACAAGCACUUUCACAUGCAGAGGGGACUCUCUGACGGUCAUGAAAAGGAAUGCCACUCUUGAUGUCAGAGGGCAGGGGCGUGGGGGGUGUGGGGGAAGAGAGAGGAUGUGGGCACCAGGGGGUUAAUCCCCAGUGGUCCCGGGGCCUUCCCCCCUUAAGCUGGGGGCUUCGGGGACAGGAAGUCCCCGAGAGAGUGGAGGAAGGGAAACAGUAUUGUCAGGCUCAGGCCCCAAGGGAGAGAUUAUGGGGGGCCAGGGGGAGGGGAGAGUGGAGGAGGGGCUACUUCGGUCCCCCAGCCCACACCGGCUGCGCCCUCAGGUGAGCCCAGGAGUUCUCGGGGAGGCCCAGGUAAGGCAAAAUCCCCAGGUCCUUUGGGCCCCCCACCCCCAGGAUGAAAUUCCUGGGAAGACAGCUGGAACUGUCUUGGAAGCCUGGGUCCCAGGGGGAGAGGGCUAUGACCUUGAAGCUUUACAGCGUCCCCCCUCUCCAACCCAGCAGCUCCGGAUGGCCAGGAAGGGGGGCGGUGGUGAGAGCAGGGGGAGGCGCGUGGUGGGGAAAGCAGCCGGCCCACUGCGCUCCUUGCCCGCCCCCCCACACCAGCUGUCUCGACAGGUCCCAGGGACCCCCAAACCAGCCCCCCCCCAUCCCUGCUGGAGCCCGAGCUGAGAUCGCGGGGUGGUCUGAGCCCUGCCUGAAUCCUGGCCUCCAUGCAGGGAGUAUCUGCCAACUUGGAGGUUCUCUGAAAAAGUCGUGAAGAAAUUCGGGAGUCCUCGGAGCGCCCCCAAAUCUGAGGGCUCCCAGGAGAACCUCACCGGCACCACCCCGAGCCUUAGGAGACAUGACGAAGUGGCUACUUCAGAUCCCCAACGUUCCCCCUUCUCUGCCAAUUUAUGAAGAGUCACUGAGGGGUGAACCCCUUCCCCAGCACAGGAGGGGGGGAUGGGCGUGGAGGGCCCCAUCCCUCUCACCGCCGCCCCCCCCCCGCCCGCCCCA